rnacentral:rRNA from 1 species
UACGUAGGGUGCAAGCGUUUAAUCGGAAUUACUGGGCGUAAAGCGUGCGCAGGCGGUGAUGUAAGACAGUUGUGAAAUCCCCGGGCUCAACCUGGGAACUGCAUCUGUGACUGCAUCGCUGGAGUGCGGCAGAGGGGGAUGGAAUUCCGCGUGUGGCAGUGAAAUGCGUAGAUAAUGCGGAGGAACACCGAUGGCGAAGGCAAUCCCCUGGGCCUGCACU